UUAAACUCCUGUUAAGUGGGAAGAAAGGGUAGCAUCUAAUACAUGCUAUGAAUGACGGUACCACUAGAGAAAGCACCGGCAAACCUCGUGC
rnacentral:rRNA from 1 species